GAAUAUUGCACAAUGGGCGAAAGCCUGAUGCAGCCAUGCCGCGUGAGUGAUGAAGGCCUUAGGGUUGUAAAGCUCUUUCACCGGUGAAGAUAAUGACGGUAGCCGGAGAAGAAGCCCCGGCUAACUCCGUGCCAGCAGCCGCGGUAAUACGGAGGGGGCUAGCGUUGUUCGGAAUUACUGGGCGUAAAGCGCACGUAGGCGGAUUUGUAAGUUGGGGGUGAAAGCCCAAGGCUCAACCUUGGAAUUGCCUUCGAUACUGCAUGUCUAGAGUCCGGAAGAGGUGAGUGGAAUUCCUAGUGUAGAGGUGAAAUUCGUAGAUAUUAGGAAGAACACCAGUGGCGAAGGCGGCUCACUGGUCCGGUACUGACGCUGAGGUGCGAAAGCGUGGGGAGCAAACAGG
rnacentral:rRNA from 1 species